AAGAUUAAGCCAUGCAUGUCUCAGUAUAAACAUUAAUUUGGUGAAUCUGCAAAUGGCUCAUUAAAACAGUUAUAAUGCACUUGAUGGUUGAUUGGUUACAUGGAUAACUGUGGUAAUCCUAUAGCUAAUACAUGCGAUCAAACCUGACUCUUGCAGGAAGGUUGUAGUCAUUAUUUACAGAACCAACCCAGGCUCUGCUUGGAAUUUUGCUGAUUCAUAGUGACUGAAUAAAUUACAUUGCAAUUUGCUGGUAAUGCAUCAUUCCAGUUUCUGACCUAUCACCUUCCGACGGUAAGGUAUUGGCUUACCGUGGCAAUGACGGGUAACGGAGGAUUAAGGUUUGAUUCCGGAGAGGGAGCUUGAGAAAUGGCUACCACAUCUAAGGAAGGCAGCAGGCGCGCAAAUUACCCAAUCCUGACACAGGGAGGUAGUGACAAGAAAUAGCAAUACAAGGCAUCCAUGUCUUGUACUUGGAAUGGAUAGAUCUUAAACCUUUCUAUGAGUAUCAAUUGGAGGGCAAGUCUGGUGCCAGCAGCCGCGGUAAUUCCAGCUCCAAUAGCGUAUAUUAAAAUUGUUGCGGUUAAAAAGCUCGUAGUUGGAUUUCUGCUGAGGGUGGCUGGUCUGCCCUCUGGGUGAGUAUUUGGCACAUCCUGGGCAUGUUCUUGAAAUCAUAACUGCACUUGACUGUGUGGUGUGGAAUUGAGGAAUCUUUACUUUGAGGAAAUCAGAGUGUUUCAAGCAGGCAUGUGCCUUGAAUACAUUAGCAUGGAAUAAUAUUGUAGGACCUUUGUUCUUUUUUGUUGGUUUAAAAACUGAGGUAAUGAUAAAUAGGGAUAGUUGGGGGCAUUCGUAUUUAAUUGUCAGAGGUGAAAUUCUUGGGUUUAUUAAAGACGCACUAUUGCGAAAGCAUUUGCCAAGGAUUUUUUCAUUGAUCAAGAACGAAAGUUAGGGGAUGGAAGACGAUCAGAUACCGUCCUAGUUUUAACCAUAAACCAUGCCAACUAGAGAUUGAAGGUCGUUAUUUGCAUGACUCCUUCAGUACCUUAUGAGAAAUCAAAGUCUUUGGGCUCCGGGGGGAGUAUGGUCGCAAGGCUGAAA
rnacentral:rRNA from 2 species